AAGGUCCCAGGUAGACAUGAUGCUGGCCACAUUCUUCUAAGGGUUACAAAUGUGUCGCUCUGUUGAUCUUUUUCUUUUCUUUCCUGCCUAGGCACAGCUAAAGUGCUCUCUGGUACAACAGUUGCCCCUGGGAGCUCCAACUCAGGAUCCAUGACCACUGCACUGGGGAGCCAACUCUCCAGCAGUCAAACAGUGAUUCCACGUUCCAGUGGCACCACCUCUCACACAACUGUUGCACUUGGAAGUUCUGAUACAGGAACCACCUCUGGUGCAUCAGAUGAUCAAGUCACUGGAAGUAAAACAGGCACUACUGGUGUGGCCUUGAGCACAACUGUUGCACCUGGAAGUUCCAGUACAGAAGCCACAACUUCCACAGGAGUCCAUAGAACCACUGUAGUGGGACGGAAGACAGAAGCUACCACUAGAGGAUCAGCAAAGCAAGGAACUGGAAGCACAAUAGAAGCUACGACGUCCUUUAGAGGCACUGGGACCACAGGAAGUGGAAUGAAUACAGGUACUACUGGAGUAGUCUCUGGCAACACCAUCUCACCUAGCAGUUUCAA
rnacentral:sRNA from 1 species